GGUCUAGCCAAUUUGUUUAUAGAGACAUAUGGCGUUAUAUUUGUUGCAGGAGUGGCACUG
rnacentral:tRNA from 1 species